GAUGAACGCUGGCGGCGUGCCUAAUACAUGCAAGUCGAGCGAACAGAUGAGGAGCUUGCUCCUGGGACGGUAGCGGCGGACGGGGGAGUAACACGUGGAGAACCUACCUAUAAGACUGGGAUAACUUCGGGAAACCGGAGCAAAUAGCGGAUAAUAUAUUGAACCGCAUGGUUCAAUAGUGAAAGACGGUUUUGCUGUCACUUAUAGAUGGAUGCGCGCCGCAUUAGCUAGUUGGGAAGGUAACGGCUUACACAGGCAAGGAGGGGUAGCCGACCCGAGAGGGUGGACGGCCACCCUGGCACUGAGACACGGUCGAGACUCCUAGGGUGAGCCGCAGUAGGGACUCUUACGCGAUGCGCGAAAGCCUGACGGAGCAACGCCGCGUGAAUGCUGAAGGUGUUCGGCUCGUAAAGUUCUGUAAUCAGGGGAGAACUAAUGUGUAAUUAACUAUGAACGUCUUGACGGUACCUAAUCAAAAAGCCCCGGCUAACUACGUG
rnacentral:rRNA from 1 species